UGGGUAACCUGCCUCAAAGAGGGGAAUAGCCUCCCGAAAAGGGAGAUUAAUACCGCAUAAUAUGUUUAAGUCGCAUGACUUUAACAUCAAAGGAUUUUUCUUUUAGAAAAUUCCACUUUGAGAUGGACCCCGCGGCGCAUUAGCUAGUUGGUGAGGUAACGGCUCACCAAGGCAACGAUGCGUAGCCGACCUGAGAGGGUGAUCGGCCACAUUGGAACUGAGACACGGUCCAGCUCCGUAGGG
rnacentral:rRNA from 1 species